rnacentral:rRNA from 1 species
CCUACGGGAGGCAGCAGUGAGGAAUAUUGGUCAAUGGGCGCGAGCCUGAACCAGCCAAGUCGCGUGAGGGAUGAAGGUUCUAUGGAUCGUCAACCUCUUUUAUAAGGGAAUAAAGUGUGGGACGUGUCCUAUUUUGUAUGUACCUUAUGAAUAAGGAUCGUCUCACUCCGUGCCAGCAGCCGCGGUAAUACGGAGGAUCCGAGCUUUAUCCGGAUUUAUUGGGUUUAAAGGGUGCGUAGGCGGCCUUUUAAGUCAGCGGUGAAAGUCUGUGGCUCAACCAUAGAAUUGCCGUUGAAACUGGGUGGCUUGAGUAUGUUUGAGGCAGGCGGAAUGCGGGGUGUAGCGGUGAAAGGCUUAGAUAUCACGCAGAACCCCGAUUGCGAAGGCAGCCUGCCAAGCCAUGACUGACGCUGAUGCACGAAAGCGUGGGGAUCAAACAGGAUUAGAUACCCCAGUAGUC